GAUGAACGCUGGCGGCGUGCCUAAUACAUGCAAGUCGAGCGAACAGACGAGGAGCUUGCUCCUCUGACGUUAGCGGCGGACGGGUGAGUAACACGUGGAUAACCUACCUAUAAGACUGGGAUAACUUCGGGAAACCGGAGCUAAUACCGGAUAAUAUAUUGAACCGCAUGGUUCAAUAGUGAAAGACGGUUUUGCUGUCACUUAUAGAUGGAUCCGCGCCGCAUUAGCUAGUUGGUAAGGUAACGGCUUACCAAGGCAACGAUGCGUAGCCGACCUGAGAGGGUGAUCGGCCACACUGGAACUGAGACACGGUCCAGACUCCUACGGGAGGCAGCAGUAGGGAAUCUUCCGCAAUGGGCGAAAGCCUGACGGAGCAACGCCGCGUGAGUGAUGAAGGUCUUCGGAUCGUAAAACUCUGUUAUUAGGGAAGAACAAAUGUGUAAGUAACUAUGCACGUCUUGACGGUACCUAAUCAGAAAACCACGGCUAACUACGUG
rnacentral:rRNA from 1 species